UACGUAGGGGGCAAGCGUUGUCCGGAUUCAUUGGGCGUAAAGAGCGUGUAGGCGGCCAGGUAGGUCGGUUGUGAAAACUGGAGGCUCAACCUUCAGAGGUCGACCGAAACCAUCUGGCUAGAGUCCGCGAGAGGAGAGUGGAAUUCCUGGUGUAGCGGUGAAAUGCGCAGAUAUCAGGAAGAACACCCGUGGCGAAAGCGGCUCUCUGGAACGGUACUGACGCUGAGACGCGAAAGCGUGGGGAGCGAACAGG
rnacentral:rRNA from 1 species